rnacentral:rRNA from 1 species
UGCGGCGGAUUAGCUAGUUGGUGGGGUAACGGCCUACCAAGGCGAUGAUCCGUAGGGGGCGUGAGAGCGUGGCCCCCCACACUGGCACUGAGAUACGGGCCAGACUCCUACGGGAGGCAGCAGUGAGGAAUAUUGCACAAUGGGCGCAAGCCUGAUGCAGCAAUGCCGCGUGCGGGACGAAGGCCUUCGGGUCGUAAACCGCUUUUCUGGGGAAAGAGCAAGGACGGUACCUCAGGAAUAAGUCUCGGCUAACUACGUGCCAGCAGCCGCGGUAAAACGUAGGAGGCGAGCGUUAUCCGGAUUUACUGGGCGUAAAGCGUACGCAGGUGGCUUCGUGAGUCGGACAUGAAAGCUCCUGGCUUAACUGGGAGAGGCUGUUCGAUACUGCGGGGCUUGAGGUUGGGAGAGGGACGCGGAAUUCCCGGUGUAGUGGUGGAAUGCGUAGAUAUCGGGAGGAACACCAGUGGCGCAAGCGGCGUCCUGGCCCACACCUGACGCUGAGGUGCGAAGGCGUGGGUAGCAAACAGGAUUAGAUACCCUGGUAGUCCACGCUGUAAACGAUGUCAACUGGGUGUCGGUAGUUUUACACUAUCGGUGCCGAAGCUAACGCG